ACCAACGUAUUGGGCUGCGCCCCCGAGG
rnacentral:sRNA from 1 species